CAAAGGCUUGGUCCUGACUUUGUUAUCUGCUAUAGUUAUAUUUACACAUGCAAGUAUCCGCCCCCCAGUGAGAAUGCCCAUACUUCCCCUUUGGGAAUAAGGAGCCGGUAUCAGGCACACCCUAAUAUGUAGCCCACAACACCUUGCUAAGCCACACCCCCAAGGGCACCCAGCAGUGAUAAACAUUAAGCAAUAAGUGAAAACUUGACUUAGUAAUAACUAAUAGAGCCGGUAAAAUUCGUGCCAGCAACCGCGGUUAUACGAAAGGCUCAAGUUGAUAAGCUACGGCGUAAAGCGUGGUUAGGAUCAAACCAUUAAACUAAAGCUGAACCACCUCCUGGCUGUUUAAAGCAUAUGAGGUAAUUAAAAACAACUACGAAAGUGGCUUUACCACUCUGACUCCACGAAAGCUAGGGCCCAAACUGGGAUUAGAUACCCCACUAUGCCUAGCCCUAAACAAUGAUAUUUUCAUACAUAAAUAUCCGCCUGGGGACUACGAACAUCAGUUUGAAACCCAAAGGACCUGGCGGUGCUUAAUAUCCCCCUAGAGGAGCCUGUUCUAUAACCGAUAACCCCCGUUAAACCUCACCCUUCUUCGCAAACAUCCGCCUAUAUACCGCCGUCGUCAGCCUACCCUGUUAAGGAAAAAUAGUAGGCAAAAUUGGCAAAGCCCAAAACGUCAGGUCGAGGUGUAGUAUAUAGAAGGGGAAGAAAUGGGCUACAUUAACUAUAAUAGUUUAUACGAAAAUCAUGUUGAAAUACACGUUCUAAGGUGGAUUUAGUAGUAAGUAAAAAACAGAGAGUUUUACUGAAUAUGGCUCUUAAGCGCGUACACACCGCCCGUCACCCUCCCCAAACGACCACACAUCUAAUAAUUAAUUAUCUUAUGUCAACCUAGGGGAGGGAAGUCGUAACAUGGUAAGUGUACCGGAAGGUGCACUUGGGUAA
rnacentral:ncRNA from 1 species